rnacentral:rRNA from 1 species
AUGCAGGGGGCAGCUACACAUGCAGUCGAGCGGUAACAGGGGUAGCUUGCUACCCGCUGACGAGCGGCGGACGGGUGAGUAAUGCAUAGGAAUCUGCCCGAUAGUGGGGGAUAACCUGGGGAAACCCAGGCUAAUACCGCAUACGUCCUACGGGAGAAAGGGGGCUCCGGCUCCCGCUAUUGGAUGAGCCUAUGUCGGAUUAGCUAGUUGGUAAGGUAAUGGCUUACCAAGGCAACGAUCCGUAGCUGGUCUGAGAGGAUGAUCAGCCACAUCGGGACUGAGACACGGCCCGAACUCCUACGGGAGGCAGCAGUGGGGAAUAUUGGACAAUGGGGGCAACCCUGAUCCAGCCAUGCCGCGUGUGUGAAGAAGGCCCUCGGGUUGUAAAGCACUUUCAGCGAGGAAGAACGCCUAUCGGUUAAUACCCGGUAGGAAAGACAUCACUCGCAGAAGAAGCACCGGCUAACUCCGUGCCAGCAGCCGCGGUAAUACGGAGGGUGCAAGCGUUAAUCGGAAUUACUGGGCGUAAAGCGCGCGUAGGUGGCUUGAUAAGCCGGUUGUGAAAGCCCCGGGCUCAACCUGGGAACGGCAUCCGGAACUGUCAGGCUAGAGUGCAGGAGAGGAAGGUAGAAUUCCCGGUGUAGCGGUGAAAUGCGUAGAGAUCGGGAGGAAUACCAGUGGCGAAGGCGGCCUUCUGGACUGACACUGACACUGAGGUGCGAAAGCGUGGGUAGCAAACAGGAUUAGUCCCC